rnacentral:lncRNA from 1 species
UGCCUGGUAACUGUGUUGCUGCUGUACCCAGUAGCUCUUGGAAGAAUUGGGUGAAGUGUUGUUGUAUCUGCUAUGGAUCAGUAAUUUUCAUCUGGUCUUCAGUAAGGAUACAACUCACCUUGUUUCUUGCUUGUCUGGCUUUCAUGUAGGCAUGGAAGUAUUUUGUAUUGUGAUCUCCCAGUUGGAUCCAAUUGGCUCUUGAUUUCUGCCUCAUUAUUUGUUCUUGGACAGCUUCCUAUUUUUCAAUGUUCUGUAAUAUCUGUUUUUCUUUUUGGAUAUCCUGCUUGUUGAAAUGGUCUUCAUUUAGCCUGCUCUGUGUAACAUUCAGUUCUUCUCUUAUUU